ACACUUUUUUUUAAAGAGUAAAAAUGCUAGAAGAGUACAAAUGCAAAGAUGUCGGGAGAGUUUAUCAGCGGUUUUUUUGAUGUCUCAGGAAAAAUAUGAUCAGUCGAAUUUUUUUUAUCCUUUUACUUCAGACUGGCAAAAGUGUGUGUAUGCGAAUUACCUCCAAAAAAGCAAAACAAAUUAUGAAAAACAUUUGCUUUAUUUGCAUAGUGGGACAGAUUGCAGCCUGGAAACUAUGAAAAUACAAGUGAAAAUUGUUUUAAAGCUUAUUAUUUGUCCCUACAUGACAUGGAGAUCAGACUGCAAAUGCUUCAUGGCACUAACAAGACUAUACUGGCAAGAUCUUCCCCACUAUAACUCUGCAUAUACAAGUAGUCCUCGCUUAACAACUGAUCUAUUAAGUGGCUGCUCAAAGUUAUGAUGGCAAUGAAAAGGUUAACUUUAUGACAAGUCCUUGCAUUUAUGGCUAUGGCAGCGCCCCCUGCAGUUAUGUGAUUAAAAUUUGGGCAUUUUGUAACCAGCAGGAAUUUAUGAUUGUCACAGAAUUUCAUGAUUGCAUUAUGGCCACUUGCACUUCUACUGAAUUCCAUCCAGUAGAAUCCACGGAGGAACUAGAGUAAAAUUGGAAGUGGAUGUUGAUGUCUUGCUUGAGAUCCAUAACAGAAACGACAUCCCCUUCUGUGUGAUGUCACCUGCCAAAGAAACGAAAGAAAAUCAAGACAAGCUUUAAUGAAGAAAGAACUCAUCUGCUCAAGUCAAGAAGCACUCUGGCAGGCUUUGAUCACUAGCAGCUCCUCCUGGCAUUAUCCAACUGCUGAUCUUGAGCUGUCUGAAAAUUUGGGAAGCUCCAGUCCCAGAACCUCAAGAGGACAACGAAUUUAUUUAUAAAAUGGUGGGGCAAUAAGACUCAGCAAGCUUCACCAACAAUCUUUGCAUAUGUACUUGAAAAGCCUCAAAGCAUCUGCAUAGAAGACCAAAGAAACUACUUGGAUAAAACAGCGAAACUUUUUGAACCAACAAGAAAAAGAAGUCCAUCUGCUGUGACUCAACUUCCAGAAAAUUCAUCUGAAUAGAUUCCUCUGACAUAUAAAAUAAUAACAAUUUCUAAAUAA